rnacentral:rRNA from 1 species
GAUGAACGCUGGCGGCGUGCCUAAUACAUGCAAGUCGAGCGAAUGGAUUAAGAGCUUGCUCUUAUGAAGUUAGCGGCGGACGGGUGAGUAACACGUGGGUAACCUGCCCAUAAGACUGGGAUAACUCCGGGAAACCGGGGCUAAUACCGGAAAACAUUUUGAACCGCAUGGUUCGAAAUUGAAAGGCGGCUUCGGCUGUCACUUAUGGAUGGACCCGCGUCGCAUUAGCUAGUUGGUGAGGUAACGGCUCACCAAGGCAACGAUGCGUAGCCGACCUGAGAGGGUGAUCGGCCACACUGGGACUGAGACACGGCCCAGACUCCUACGGGAGGCAGCAGUAGGGAAUCUUCCGCAAUGGACGAAAGUCUGACGGAGCAACGCCGCGUGAGUGAUGAAGGCUUUCGGGUCGUAAGACUCUGUUGUUAGGGAAGAACAAGUGCUAGUUGAAUAAGCUGGCACCUUGACGGUACCUAACCAGAAAGCCACGGCUAACUACGUGCCAGCAGCCGCCGUAA